rnacentral:lncRNA from 1 species
CCGCUACCUCUUCUUCAUUAUCUCCCUCCAUUGCAACAUCAUUGAAGCCACCGUACUAAGCAAUAAUAUUGGCAUGGUCCAAUUCUUCUUCUUCUUCUUCACCUUCAUCCAUUAUAAUCCCGCUUUCUUCAUGUUUGGUCCAACAAAUAUAGUUUGGUACGAAACCAGACUUUAAUAAGUGUGAAUGAAGAGUUCUUGAGUUAGAAUAUUUCGUCAAAUUCUUGCACACGGCACAUGGACAGCACAUGAAACCGUCCCUCUUAUUUGUCCCGGCCACACUUAAGAAAUAGUGCACGCCAUUAAUGAACUCUUCGGAGCGCC